rnacentral:rRNA from 1 species
CAGUCGCCACGGGAAUACGUAGGUGGCAAGCGUUGUCCGGAAUUAUUGGGCGUAAAGAGCUCGCAGGCGGUUUCUUAAGUCUGAUGUGAAAGCCCCCGGCUCAACCGGGGAGGGUCAUUGGAAACUGGGAAGCUUGAGUGCAGAAGAGGAGAGUGGAAUUCCACGUGUAGCGGUGAAAUGCGUAGAGAUGUGGAGGAACACCAGUGGCGAAGGCGACUCUCUGGUCUGUAACUGACGCUGAGGAGCGAAAGCGUGGGGAGCGAACAGGAUUAGAUACCCGCGUAGUCCCUGUCUCUUAUCA